CUCACAGGUUCUUCUCUUUUUCCCCUGGUGGGGAGAUAUAAACAUGGUUGGCAUAAUGGCAGAGGGACUUCUCAGAGAAAAACAAUAUGUCUCUUUUUUUUUUAAUAGCUCUACAUCAGAAUUUCUUUCAAAUUGUAGGGGAAUUCUUCACUUAUUUAGUGUCACGUAUAGCUAAUAUUUUUUCAUUUUUCAUAAAAGGCUAAUAAAACCCAUGUGGUUAAAUAAUUGGUUUUCAGGAUUGCUUCUGUGAUGGGUGUUUGUCUUUAUUCCAUCACAAACUGUCAUACUGUGCCUGUUACUCUGCUGUGUUACUGUGAGGAGGAGCUCAGUACAGUUGAACCAGAUGCAGUUGCACAGAAUAUAUCACUUCCCAAGAGUAAUUAAUUUGGCCACUAUGAUGUUUAUCUUGCUUUAGUCUGAUUUUUUUUUUUCCCAGCUUUGGCUUUCAUUAGUGUGCUGUCCUCCCUUGUCUGUCACCUGCCAGAAGACAGCACCAUUUUUCUGUGGGUUUGGAGGGGAGCUGCCAUAGGCUGCAUUCUGGUUUGUUCCUGGGCAAGUGCCUGACCAUGAAACAGUCACACUGCACAGCUCCCCAUGUGCACCAUUUAUAGAAGGACCAAGGGCUGCAGCUUGUCCUGCAGUCCUAACAGAGAUCAAGCUGUUACAAGGCAUAUUUCUAAGAAGCUGAGAUUAACAUCUGUCCAUAAUGAAGACAGUCUGGAUAAAAUCUCUUCAGAAGUGAUUAAGGGAAAAUGCAGAAUUUACUUUCACUGAGAAGACUCAGGACAGAGGAAUCCUGCCCACAGGGUCACUGCCCCGCUGCCCAUCAAUACGGCCUUGGUCCCUCCUGCAGCCCCUUGAGCUCAGCCUCUGUGAGUGCCUAUCUACCUUCAAUGGAGAAAUGGUAACACUUCCAUGCUCAACAAAGUCAGUGUCUCAAAUCUAUUUGGAGGAGUGGCAGCUUG
rnacentral:lncRNA from 1 species